rnacentral:lncRNA from 1 species
AGUGGAUCUCAUAGAAGUACAGAGUGAAAUAUUAGGUUGGUACAAAAGUAAUUGCAGUUUUUGCCAUUUAAAAGUAAUGUUAAAAGUAAUAGUUACCAAUUGGCAAGAAUGUGUGUGUGUGGGUGGGUAGAGGAAUGGAUGGGCAUAAAUUGGUACAAACAUACAGUUAAGUAGAAGGAAUAAGUUCUAAUGUUUGAUAGCAGAGUAGGAUGUCUAUAGUUAGCAGCAGUGUAUUGUAUAUAUAUCAAAAUAACUAGAAGAGAGGGCUAGAAAUGUUCUCAACACAUAAAAAUGACAAAUACUCAAGGUGCUGGACACCCUAAAUACUCUGACUUGAUCAUCACACAUUCUAUGCAUGUAACAAAAUACCACAUGUACUGCAUAAAAGUGUACAAAUAGUAUAUAUUAAUUACAAAAAAAAAUCGUGUGGCUACCAAAACUCAUUAUUUCAGGUGCUAGCAAAUGUAGUCACAACCAAGACUAGGCUUGAACUCUUCCUUUCAGCUUCCUGACAGCCAAGUAACGGAGUGAAAGGUCAGAUAAUUUACUUAGACCUGAGACUGCCAUUAAUAUUGUCAACAAAUUGCUUUGAUCUACAGCUCAUUAGCUUUGGUUGGAAUUGCUAAGCAAAUAAGCCAAAGUGAAAUUUUGUUCUAUCCAAUGGCCUAUCUAGUACCUUAACCCCAGACAACCUUCUUACAUGGUGAUCACAACUAAGCUGGUGAAUGGGCAUAAAUCUUUUAUUGCUACCAGAAAAAAAAAAAAUCAAAGUGCAAGCUCUAUCAAAUGUAAGUGAAUGCCCAUGAUGUGUCUAGCAUCUAUACACUGUGUUCUAGAAGUAUGUUAAUUUGGCUUAAAGAAAAACUAUAAAUUCUUUGUCUUCAUUCAGAAAUCAGUAAUUCUCAAAAGGGAAGGUAGUUUAUAACCCCUAGGAAGAUCAGUGAUUCUCAAAAGGUGGUACGGUUUAUAACCUCUAGGGGUCACAUCCGAAUCUCCUGAGGAAAAUGCUGAACUAUGCAAUCCCUUCUCAACUUUCCCCUAGAGACAGAUUCUAACAACAUUGUCUCCUAUGAAAGAUUUCAUGAUUACUGUCAUGAAUCACUAUUAUUGAUGGGAGAAAAAGUUUAUAUCAGGUAUAUUGAGAUGCAAAAGGAAAAGAAUCACUGUUAUAAGCUGAAAUUGUUGAUGGAAGUGCACAGGAAACAAAACAGCAGCAAGAUAUUACACAAUUAGCUGACAUGUAUAGUGACAUUUUUGCCAGAUUACACACAAAAAAAUAUAACUGUAGUUUUUUCAUGAGCCAAAUUUCAAUAACAGCUAUUAAAUGGUAUUUAAAAUGCAUCAUUUAUAGAAAUGACCUUUUUCAGAAGAACUGGAAAAUUUUAACUCAUAUAUACUAGCUGAAGGAAAAAAAGGUUCUUGCUUAUAUUUCAAUAAGCCCUCUCUGCAUUGAGAAAAGAACAUUGUUGACUACCUUUUGUUUCUUGGCUUGAUACUAGUUCUCUAGCUUUCUUCUUUUUUUGUUUUCUUUUUUUUAAAUACACAAUUUUUACUAAUGCAAACCUCACAUUGACUCAGAUGAAAGAGGCAACAGAAUUUCUGGAUACCGUGUACCCUUUAGAUAAUGUACCUCAACAACGAUUCAGUUUCUUUUUCUAAUUUUGCAGAUCAUUUAACAAAGUGUACAGCUGAAAAUGGUUUGUUUGUGCAUCUAGAUGAUCUGGUGGAGUUUACACUUCAGAGGCACUGGGAAUGCCAAAGAUUUAUUUGCCUCUCAUUCAUUAAGAAGAAAAAAGAAAGAAAAUGUAACUAAUUGAAGAGUCUGGAUGACAAUUAUCUGUUUGUCGCCAUGGGUUGGGCAGAUCCUGAAGAGAACCAACUUGAGUCUGACAGUCCUUCCAGAACACGGCACCCACCUCCACCAUAUAACACAGCCAAGUGAAACACUAAGGAGGCUCUGUAAGGCAUGACUCUGAAGAAGGCCACUAUCUUUUACUGCCGUGACACCAUUUCUCAGAACACAUCACAUGGCCCCUGAGUGGUCAGGAGUCCAGAGAAAAACAGUCAAGCCCUCCUUUAAUAGUAAAAUUUUUGUCUGACCCUCUCAAGUGGCUAUGUAGAUCUCUUGCAAAUUGAACCAGAAGGUCUUUGGUUCAAGUUCCUGACUUAGCAAUUUUGUAUGUUAUCUCACAUACCAUGAUCAGGUUCUUUGUGGAAGUUCUCUCUUUAAUUCUUCUUGAAAUAGGUUUGUUUUGUUUUGUUUUUUUAAUGCCUAUUUGAAAUCUGAGGAAACAAAAGCUCAGAAAGUGACUGGGUCCUUGACUUCCCAGCUCUUUACUACAGUCACUGGGGAACACAGUGACCCCAUCCCUAAUCGCUUCUUCAAGCGGUGCAAGUGACCCAGGAAUUCCCCGGCCAUUGCACAAUGAACUUUCCAUACCUUUAUUGGGAAUUCAGUUGUGGGGAGGAAAUCAAGGCUUUCAAAAACAUUAUCAGUAGACAAAAAUGAAGCCCCAUCUGCAUUUGAAUUUUCUAGUUUCUCAGUGUCAGGCAUUGAAUUGUCAUGGUUUGGCUCCCACUCGUUUUCUGCUUCAACGCUCAACAAGAAGACAUGGAAGUGCAGCAUCACCUAGAAUUCACUUGGUUGGAAAGAAAUGCAUUUCCUGUGAGUUGGAGAAGGUCCUUCCAUUCUUUGCAGGAUCUCACUCUGUCACCCAGGCUGGAG